CUCUCCAUAUCAGAUCAAACCACUUUCCAUGAGUCAAAGAUUUGACUCACUACCUAAAAUCAGUGGGGAAUGUUAUAACUUGACCAAAGCACCGCCAUCCUGUUUUGUAUGCGCCGUCUUAGUGAACCAUGUCAACUGCUGUA